rnacentral:misc_RNA from 1 species
GAUGAAGAACGUAGCAAAAUGCGAUACUUGGUGUGAAUUGCAGAAUCCCGUGAACCAUCGAGUUUUUGAACGCAAGUUGCGCCCGAAGCCUUUUGGCUGAGGGCACGUCUGCCUGGGCGUCACGCAUCGCGUCGCCCCCCACAAUUCUCCGUAAAAGGAACAUGUGUUUUGGGGGCGGAUAUUGGUCUCCCGUGCUCAUGGCGUGGUUGGCCGAAAUAGGAGUCCUUUCGAUGGACGCACGAACUAGUGGUGGUCGUAAAAACCCUCGUCUUUUGUUUCGUGCUGUUGCUCGCAAGGUAAACUCUUUAAAAACCCCAAUGUGUCGUCUCUUGACGACGCUUCGACCGCGACCCCAGGUCAGGCGGGACUACCCGCUGAGUUUAAGCAUAUCAAUAAGCGGAGGA